rnacentral:lncRNA from 1 species
AGCCCUCCCUGCUUUUCUUUUCUUUUUGUUUUAAAUUUAUUAUCUUUCUGUCCUGCCUGUUGGUUGGGUGACUGGAGCCUGGAGUUCCCUAAAGGAAAAUUUUAGAAGGGAAACAUUCUAAUCUGUAGAAAAUCUUCAAAUUCCUAAGCAAACAAGAGCAAAAGAUCUCAAAGUAAACAGGCCAGCAGACGGAGAGUCUUCUUUAAUGCACUUUGAUUUCCUCCAAGAAGUUACAGAUUGUGUGGGGACAGGUAGGACUAAGAGUGCCUAGAGAAAGGGGAAGUGAUAUGAGGGGGAAAUAAUAUAUCACAUCAGCAACUUCCUUGAAUUCAGUUCCUUGAUUCCUUCUGCCUGCCUUAUCCAUCAGGAUACAUUUCCUGUAGCGGCCACGUGUACCAAGUCCUUCCAGAAAAGAAGUACGACUCUCCAACCCAUUCCUUCAUUUGCAUCAAAAAGAACUAUUCUCCAGGCCUCCUGCCAAGGGCAGGAAUAAGAGGAAUAAGUCAUGGCCUCUGCCCCUAAGAGCUCCUUGCUUAGGUGGAGAGGGAGACAGACAACUGCAUGGAAAGGCGUGAUGAGAUGAAAGCCCAUAGCACGGGAGCUGAGCCCAGGCACCAGCGCGGAGUGCAGGUGGGAGAGACGGGACCCGAGCUCAUAUUCCAGUUAGCUAUUUACCUGCCAGUACUAUAUUAUCUUAUCCCAUGCCCCAAGUGACUGUGGCAGGCACCCUUUUCACAGGGGGCAGGAAGUAUGACCCAGCAUCAGCCAAUCUGAGUCAUUGACAAGUAGGACUGGACUCUGAACACUGACAUGAAAAUAGGGCCAAGGCCCACAAACCGGCCAGCAAUCCAGGCCUUCCCACCUCCGUCAUUGAGAGGCAAUUUCCCAAGGCAGGACCUUGCCACGUGGCCCACUGUAUGUUUCCUAGCUACUGGACAGCUGGCUCUAUAGACUCUUCCGUGUACAUAAAUUCAGUCAUUCUUUUCUCAAAACACAGAGUAAACCUCUGGUUUGAAAGAGAGACUCAAGCCUUGGACACACAAAUAUCCUGCAAUCUACAAGUCAAACGGGAGUGGAAGCUUUCAUUUCUUAGAGGCUAGAACCGGGAAUAACAGUACCCCCAGCAGACUGACCAUGAAGGGUUCUGUCUGUGUGUGCACAACUUCCCAGGCCUGAAAUGUGUGCAGCAAGGAUGUCCUCAAGGGGCUCUUGUGCACGUUGCCCUCUACCCAUGGUCCCCACAGCGGGACCAGCUCCACACACAGGGAAGAAUGGAAAGGACACCCAGAGCCAACCUGGCCCUGGGACCUCCCCUCCUGGCUUUCACGGCUCCUCAGAUUGGGUCAGUCACACCGAAAGGACUUUCUGGAAGGAGCGCACCAGAAUUUCUGUUCUGGGAAGAUGGUGGAAGGCAGAGCUGAGUUCAUUGCUUAUGGAGGGGAGAGAAUAGCCCCUGCACAGAGCCUCCAUCGCGGCUGCCAGGGGAAGUGGAGAGGCUAGGAUCUCACUGAGAAUUUCAAGAUUGGUUUAAGGAGGGCCUUUCAAUGCAGGGGCUUGCUUGGGAUUGGGGGAGAUAAUGAUACAGUAGUUUCAGGUUGGUGGCAACAGCUAGGCGAGGGGUUUGAAAUGUCUUAGGUGUGAAAUGUCUGUUGAUGCUUCUAUUAAAUAAAGCUCGCCUAUUGAAGAGUUGAUGGGCCUCUUGGGAAAUUCCUGUAAUAAACAAUGAAGUUAUUUGCCUGGGCAAGAGACUCUUGGAAUAGUAAAGUUAUUGUACCAAAGACAGUGGGAGAAAAAAAGUCAUGUUAAUGCAGACAAUAAACUUGGAGGUGGAAGGGGAUAGUUUCUGCCUCAAUCUGACUAGUCAUUAGGCCUAAAGACCUGAGGGCUAGGACACAUGUCAAGUAUCUUUCAACACAUUUAAAAAGUUAAAAAUUCAGGAAAUGGACCCACGACAAUGUUGGAGGUCUGCUAAGCAGGACAGGGAGCAUGGAGGAGGGGUGCAUUAAAAAACAAGCCUCGGGCCAGUCUGGGUGGCUCACGCCUGUAAUCCCAGUGCUUUGGGAGGGCGAGGCAGGCGGAUCACAAGGUCAGGAGAUCGAAACCAUCCUGGCUAACACGGUGAAACCCCGUCUCUACUUAAAAAAAGACAACAAAUUAGCUGGGCUUGGUGGCGGGCGCCUGUAAUCCCCGCCACUUGGGAGGCUGAGGCAGGAGAAUCGCUUGAACCCAGGAGGCGGAGGUUGCGGUGAGCUGAGAUCCACCACUGCACUCCAGCCUGGGCGACAGAGCGAGACUCGGUCUCAAAAAACAAACAAACAAAAAAACAAGCCUUACCUGUUUUAGAAUCUCACCUAUCACUGACGAGCCUUAGCUCCAAUCCCAUCACACUAUAAUUCACACUGCAGAGGACCCAGCUAAUCCAGCUAUGGGUGAAUAAUAAUGGUAGUAGGUGUCAUUUAUGAAACAAUGACUAUAUGCCAGGCAUAUGUGAUCAUCACAGGGGGACAUUAUUGAGGAAACCAAGGUUCAAAGAGGCUUGGUAACUUGUCUGAGGUGAUGAAACCAAGAAAAGUGGCCAUUCUGGGACUCAAACCUGCUCCCUUUGGCUCCAAAGCUCUUUGUUCCCAGACUGGUCAGGGUGAGCCUCCUCAUUUUACUGAAGAUGUUCAAGGCUUCUCAACAGCUGCCAUUUUCCAGUGCAGCUGGUGUUAAUCUUACAUGGCCCUGGCCACCAAAUAAACUUAUUUUACUCUGAGAAGUCAUUUGCUACUGUUUCUAUUGUGUAAAAUUUUUCUCAUAGGAAACAUUGAAAAGAUACCUCAUAGGAGUGUGUGAAAAGUAAGUGACAGAUGCUGUAAGUCCAUAGGAAAUGGC